rnacentral:rRNA from 1 species
GUAGGGAAUAUUGGGAAAUGGGCGAAAGCCCGACCCAGCAACGCCGCGUGUGCGAUGAAGGCCUUCGGGUUGUAAAGCACUUUUCACCGGGAAGAGGAAGGACGGUACCGGUGGAAUAAGCCUCGGCUAACUACGUGCCAGCAGCCGCGGUAAAACGUAGGAGGCGAGCGUUAUCCGGAUUUACUGGGUGUAAAGCGCGUGCAGGCGGACGGGUAAGUUGGGUGUGAAAGCUCCCGGCUCAACUGGGAGAGGUCGCUCAAGACUGCCGGUCUAGAGCGUGGUAGAGGAAGGUGGAAUUCCGGGUGUAGUGGUGAAAUGCGUAGAUAUCCGGAGGAACACCAGUGGCGAAAGCGGCCUUCUGGGCCACGACUGACGCUCAGACGCGAAAGCUAGGGUAGCAAACGGGAUUAGAAACCCCAGUAGUCC